ACACAACCAGAGAGAUGAGGAGGCAUUCAAAUGGCUUAUGAUUUCAUCCAAAAUGGUUUGCUUGUUCCUACUACAGUGUUUCUCUGGAUCUUUUCAAACCUCCGCAAAGAGUUUAUCCACAUGAUACUCAUUAAAGUCUCAUUUGAAAGGGGGGAAAAAAGCCCAAAGCUCUUUGAAAAAGCCAGGGUUAUCUGAGCUGCAGAUGUACUGUCACAGGAGGCUGCCACGUGGCAUCCCCAGCGUCUGCUGGGGAUGAGAUGACCUCGCCAGGCACCGGUAUCCACAGUCCCGACACCAGCGAGUUUUGCUUGGUGAGGAGGGACCUUUGUCACCUGCCCAUGCUGCUCCCCUCCAUCCCAGCCCUGACUUAGGAUGCUUCCUCAUCAUGGCUCCAAUUCCAAUCAGAUGAUUUCAUAGACGCUUCAUGUGACUCAGGCGAAGAAAAUGCCAGUUAAAGGUACCUAGUUAGAUAUGGAGGGAGUAGAAUUUGCCAGCGUAAUUUCGGAGUCUGACAGACUGCGUUUGCAUAUGAACCAUCCUCCUUAAUACUGGUUUGCCCUGAACAGGUUAUUUAAGCCUAAAAAGGAUUAUAUCUACUUUAUAAAGUUGUUGUGAGCAGGAAAUGAAGUAAUAAAUGUAAAGCUCUUAAUACAGUG